rnacentral:rRNA from 1 species
UGGGGAAUAUUGCACAAUGGGCGCAAGCCUGAUGCAGCAACGCCGCGUGAACGAUGAAGGUCUUCGGAUCGUAAAGUUCUGUUGCAGGGGAAGAUAAUGACGGUACCCUGUGAGGAAGCCCCGGCUAACUACGUGCCAGCAGCCGCGGUAAUACGUAGGGGGCUAGCGUUAUCCGGAUUUACUGGGCGUAAAGGGUGCGUAGGUGGUCUUUCAAGUCGGUGGUUAAAGGCUACGGCUCAACCGUAGUUAGCCUCCGAAACUGGAAGACUUGAGUGCAGGAGAGGAAAGUGGAAUUCCCAGUGUAGAGGUGAAAUUCGUAGAUAUUCGGAGGAACACCAGUGGCGAAGGCGGCUCACUGGACCAUUACUGACGCUGAGGUGCGAAAGCGUGGGGAGCAAACAGG